GCCCAGGUGGUGGAAUUGGUAGACACGCUAGAUUCAGGAUCUAGUGAGCGCGAGCUCGUGGAGGUUCGAGUCCUCUCCUGGGCA
rnacentral:tRNA from 1 species